UUUUUAAGCCAGUGCUUGCUUCAUUAGAAUGCCCUUUAGGGUUUUCAUCCUAAUCUUUUGUGUUAAUCAAGAUGUCCUUUUCGGGUUUUCACCUUGAUCCCUCUCUCUUUUUCUUUUUUCUUUUCUUUUUAAGAUGCCCUUUUUCGGGUUUUCAUCUUGAUUUUCCUUUUUUUAAGCAUAAUAUUUCUUCACAGUAUCUGAAUUCACUGGAUUCGGUAACUCCUUCCCAUCCAUCUCAGUG
rnacentral:lncRNA from 1 species